UUAGUACUCCCUCCGUCCCGAAAUUCUUGUCUUAGAUUUGUCUAGAAAUAAAUGUAUCUAAAUACUAAGAUGUGACUAGAUACAUUCAUAUAUAGGUAAUUCUAAGACAAAAAAUUUGGGACGGAGGGAGUACUUA
rfam:Hordeum vulgare subsp. vulgare, WGS project CAJW01000000 data, contig: morex_contig_2546653